CAAUAAACCGAGUUGCACUGCAGAGCUGUCGCUUAUCUUCCUCCGAGAUGGCUGCAGUAACACUGCAUUUUCUCUUUCUUAGCCUUGCAAUUUUGUAACGUGUGUUUUGUAUUUCUUUUAAUAGAGUGCUGAAAAAGAAAAGAAAACCAAAGAUGAAAAGGAGCUUGGGUUUGAGAGCAAAACCUAUUUUGUACACAACGCAUUCAUCCUCUUCAACAAAGCCACUGAAAUAGUCUCUGAAUGUUUUGGCGCUGACCCACCAAUGGAUGUGAAGCAGCUACUGGAUCAGAAGCGCAGUUAGGGUCAAGUGUGCCAAAAAAAGCGAGGACCCCACCACCACUGUACUUCCCCUGUUCCAGAUAAUGAGUCAGAUAACGAUUACAGAGAAAAGGACAGAAGAACAAAAAAGAAUACAGCUUCCCCAGAAUCCACAUUUAGGGAUCCAAAUAAUGAUCCACCACAAAACAAGAAGAAAAAAAAACAUGGAGUGAAGAAGAAAAAGAGGUGGUACUUGAGCAAGUACUUGACUCUCAGUAGGAUACCAGUCAAAAAAGAGUGUGAUCGAUGUCUUGCAUCUGAACCAAACCUAAAAAAAGAUCAUGGAAGGAUGUAAAAACAUUCAUAUCCAGUUCUAUACAGACUAAGAAAAACAAAGUUCUCAGGCAGAGCAAAUAUUAGAACAAUAGAGGUAAAAUUAGCUCUUGUUCUGACAUACUAAAUGUUAAUGUUCUGACAGCAAAAGUGCUAAUGUUAAGAGCUAAAAUGUACUGAUAAAUAUUAAAUUUUUUCUUUUAAUUUUUGGUGCAUAUUCUCAUAGUGGCCCUUUCAGUUUUUAUGCAAUGAAAAGUUGUCGUAAUUUUAAAACUUUGCACCAAAUGUGCUCAUUUGCACUACAGAGAUGGCAUCAUGGCCUUUUAAGUUCCUUUGUUACAGAUAUGCUAAUAUUUUUGUACUAUGAGUUAAAUUAGUGCCAAAGAGUUGGAUCAUGGUCAUAUUGUCUAUUUGCCCUGAAUUUCUUUGCAAAAAAAUGCACAAAUUUUACUCCUGUACUUUUCAGAUUAAAAUGGAACUGCCUAAUUCUGUUCAAUAUGUUUAAUUUGGUUUUACCCAAGUACAUGUCUUAAAAAAUUAAACUGCUGCUUUCCAACAA